rnacentral:rRNA from 1 species
AUUGAACGCUGGCGGCAUGCUUUACACAUGCAAGUCGAACGGUAACAGGGUGCUUGCACCGCUGGCGAGUGGCGAACGGGUGAGUAAUGCGUCGGAACGUGCCGAGUAGUGGGGGAUAACGCAGCGAAAGUUGUGCUAAUACCGCAUACGUACUGAGGUAGAAAGUGGGGGACCUUCGGGCCUCACGCUAUUCGAGCAGCCGACGUCUGAUUAGCUAGUAGGUGAGGUAAAGGCUCACCUAGGAGACGAUCAGUAGCGGGUCUGAGAGGAUGAUCCGCCACACUGGGACUGAGACACGGCCCAGACUCCUACGGGAGGCAGCAGUGGGGAAUCUUGGACAAUGGGCGAAAGCCUGAUCCAGCCAUGCCGCGUGUCUGAAGAAGGCCUUCGGGUUGUAAAGGACUUUUGUCAGGGAGGAAAUCCCUAGUGCUAAUAACACUGGGGGAUGACAGUACCUGAAGAAUAAGCACCGGCUAACUACGUGCCAGCAGCCGCCGCGG